GUUCAUCACGAGGCUCUCAGUUGCUGUGAUAUCCAGGAAUGGGGGCCGGUCGAGGAGUAAUCCUCAUCUUGUUUGCCAUAAUAGUGGAUUUAAAGGCAGACAAGUGUAAUGGAUCAUCGCCAGAUUGUCAGGGAUGUUGCCGCGACGAUGGCAGCUGUUGUAUCCGUAUGCAGUGGGUUCUCGUCGGAGUCUCUGGCUCGGUCGCUUCCCUCGUUGUUUUAUGCCUCGUCUCUGCCUGUAUAUCUAGACACUGCCAACACUCCCCAAGAGCAUCCUUCUCUAAGAUAUAAUAUGUGUACCAUGGGGACACACUGGAGUAAGUGAGUUGAAACCACUGCGCUGCGACCUUUAUCACUUUGGAUUUCUCCUAAAGCAAGCACGUACAUUUUACUGCAAUACUGGCACAAAUACCAAACCCAUUCACUCAGAAGAAAGAAGUUCAUAAAGGAUCUGAUUUUUACAACCGAAUUAAUUUCGGCGACUCUAAGUAUGCUUGCUGCACGCAAAGAUGAAACCACCAACCUGUGAAGAUAAAGAAAAGGGUUAGAGUUAGGGGAACUCCAUAAAGAAAACCAUGUUGGUGAUGAAUGCGCACUCGUGCUUUUAUAGAGGACCAGCAAACUAUUGACCAUGGGAGUAUAUGCUUAGUCCUUCCACCGGUGAAUGAAUGCUAGGAUGCGAAGAGCAUAUAUAUGUACAUGUAAAAACAAAAGUAAUAAGGUAGAGGUUGAAACUCAACAAGGAGAGCCAGCAGUUAAUUAGCCCUGAUUGGUGAUUAGCAAUCAUCUUCAUCUUGCCCAAUUAGCUUCCAUUUGCCCGUAACCAGCAGCUCUCACGGCUCUAUACUGUGGUCUUUGGGUUCGCGUGCUUUUCAGCAAGUCAACAGCCUCGAACCAAUCCAACAAGCGUAAAUCCAUCUAGGAAAUAAUAAAAUAGCAAAAAUCCCUUACCAUAUUCAUAAGAAUAAGUGGCCUGUUUCUAACGCUGCCUUUGGGUAAUAAAUUCAAACAAAGUAAUAUAACAAUAUAUCAAUUUAUUCUCAAAUUUACUUUAUUAAAUAGAACAAAAUAACUCAUAAUGUUCAAUGGACGAAGUACACCAAAGUGCACCUAUCCAGUCUCUGAAAACGCUUUACAAUACAACUACAUAUUUUUCAAAGCUCAGUUUCCCAAGAUGACUCAGACCAUAUCCGUGACAACCCAAGCCACAGCAUCCAGUGGGAUAAAGUCAAAGCCCUCACCACCAACCUCAAAGACUUCAAAAUCAGAAAGCUACAAGAAGCCAUCAACAUCAAAAGACUCCAAACGUCAAUCAACCGUGACCAAGGCUUUACAUACCCCCGGCGUACCAUCAAUCCAAUCCCCAAUCAGUCAUAAUCCUUUUGUUUAAAAACUAACUUCACCCUUUUGAUUAUAUUACUGAUUGGGCCGGUCAAUAUGUUUACUACCCUUUUGUGUACAUAACAGGCUUCUCCACUCCAGUGUAACUAUAUCUGAUAUCUACUCUGCUGUAUAACAAUUUAUACAGGGAUCUGCAACAGUACAAGCCAUGACUUGAUUCGGCAACAUAUAUUGACAAACUAAUUCUAACUUUUAUCAUGACGAUUGUCACUCA
rnacentral:lncRNA from 1 species